AGGAAGGCUCUUGGUGUUGUAAACCUCUUUUUCAGGGAAGAAGAUCUGACGGUACCUGAUGAAUCAGCAUCGGCUAACUCCGUGCCAGCAGCCGCGGUAAUACGGAGGAUGCAAGCGUUAUCCGGAUUUAUUGGGCGUAAAGCGUCCGCAGGUGGUUUUUCAAGUCUGCUGUUAAAGCGCGAGGCUUAACCUCGUACAGGCAGUGGAAACUGAAAGACUAGAGUACGGUAGGGGCAGAGGGAAUUCCCGGUGUAGCGGUGAAAUGCGUAGAUAUUGGGAAGAACACCAGCGGCGAAAGCGCGCUACUGGGCCAUAACUGACACUCAUGGACGAAAGCUAGGGGAGCGAAAGGGAUUAGAUA
rnacentral:rRNA from 1 species